CUGGGGCCCAAGGGCAGCCCGGGGUGGGCCGUCCUGGAGCCUGGCAGCUGUAGGAGAAUCGGAGGUGAACUUGCGGACGCGGUCCCGCACCGAGCCAGCCCGCUGGAACGGAGAAGUUCCAGGGAGUGCACCCAGGGAAGGGUGCCCCACGAAUCAGCUUGGGCCCUGAUAUACAGGCCUUGGUAAGUCAAGCCUGCGUGCCGCCCGGCCCUCGCUGUCUUCUCGUGCACCCUUGUUGAGACGCCCGCUGCACAACCUCCCAGCCACGGUGGCAGCUGGAAGUCAAGGAGCAAAUAGCAGGUGAACGGCCUCCAGGAGGUAAGGUGG